rnacentral:tRNA from 2 species
GCGCCCGUAGCUCAAUUGGAUAGAGCGUCUGACUACGGAUCAGAAGGUUAGGGGUUCAAGUCCUCUCGGGCGCACCA